GUUUGAUAUUUUAUUAUUUCAUUCGCAUCUGUAAAAAUUUAUUAACGUAUAAAAUAUUUCACAAUGUUGGCAAAUAAUUACAAACUGCUCAAAUAAGAUCUUUGAAAAAUGUAAUUAAUCAAGAAGUUUUGAAACCUAGCGUUGGUUUUAUGGGAGAGUGCAUUAGUCAGUCUCAGUAUACAUUCUGCUCGGCAGUCGACAGGGUGAAGUUUAGGUUAAUGUGUUAAGUAUUACGUUAUUGUGAAACAAUUUAUCUCAAAAUUCUGUAAAGGCAAUUGGCAAAUUAUCUAGCUCAUAAAAUCUUGCAAUUUGAUCUAGGAGAACGUAUGCACUCCAGCAAAUGCGUACGGCGGUGCAGUGGGCGUAUUGUGUCGAGUGAUAUCCAGAUGGUCGGCAUUGGUUUCUAAUUUGACGUACUGAAGCCGUCUGGAACAAGAGUGCUAAGAGCCAAGCCAUGGGGAAGAAAAUUCAUUCUCUCUGUUCAAAUGACCAGUGCAACAGCCAAAAUGACAAGGGCUUUGUUGUUGUUGCUUAGACGUUCUGAUGUUCGAAUUUUGAUAAGGUUGUAGAUCCUGCCAAUACGGAAGUUCAGCCAAUGUUGUAACACGACAAGUUGAUGCCCUCGUUACGUCGUGCGGUUCGGGUUAGUUUCACCGAGAUGAGGAAAAGUGACAACAUAACAUCGGUGGCAUUCCCUUCGGACACCGAGUGAUCCCAAGGCAUCAGGUACAUCCAGGAUAUCUGCAAGUACAAUUUAAAAAUUUAUUCUGUUAACCCCUAACGAUCAAUCCAGGACUUAGUUUUCUUGUCUAGUCGUCUAAGGCGGUCUAAGGGUCUAAACGUUACAAUCAGGUUGCAAAAAAUAUUGCAGAGAUAAAUCACUUGCUUUAAAAACAAUAUUUAGUAGCAAAGCUGGGUGCAUAAAACAUGCAUUUUAAUCUAGACAAAUGAGAAUACGAAUUCAUUACUUGGGAAACUGCUACGAAUUGUGAUUAUUCCCCUCGCGCUAUCGGGAGUGCGUGGAACAUCAUUCAGAGAACUACGCUAGUGCCUGAUGACAUCCAUAGGGCUUGUACCAUUUGCCUCGGAAGGUGUAUAAAUGCCUGGUAGUAUUCCUAUGUUUGCUAUCACUUACCGAGUUGAGCUCAGCAACAGCAGAACAGCAAGAAAUCAAUCUCUUCUUUAGAAUGAAACAGCAGACGUUCGCUGUAAUUGUCUUGGUAGUAUUGUGUUCAGUUCAACCUUAGCUUAAAGAAACUGGUGAUGAUAGUUUUGCUCCUCUAACGAAAACAUCGGAAGAAGAAAACUCGCCUGUGUCCCGCCUUAACAUUGUUGAAGACGCAACGGGUAGACAGUCUUUGCCAAUGCUUCCUCAACCAUGCUCAACCAAGAAUUACCAUAGGGUCUACUGUACGUCUAGGUGUAAAGGUGUUCCGUAGGCCUAUAGGCCUAUCGUGAAACAAACUCGAUUAACCAUGACACGCUUGUUUUUUACACAAGUUUUAUAAAGAGAAACAUGUUAAAUGCGAAGGGUUAACGAGAACAUUUUUGUAUGAAACAUAUCAUUUGACAUUAAUGUUAUACUUCAAGAACGACUGUGAUGAACGAAUAAAUAUGGGAGAUGAAAUGUU
rnacentral:lncRNA from 1 species